rnacentral:rRNA from 1 species
CCUACGGGAGGCAGCAGUGGGGAAUAUUGGGCAAUGGACGCAAGUCUGACCCAGCAACGCCGCGUGAGGGAUGAAGGUCUUCGGAUCGUAAACCUCUGUCAGCAGGGCAGAACGGUCACUGUGCUAAUCAGCAGUGAAUUGACGGUACCUGCAAAGGAAGCACCGGCUAACUCCGUGCCAGCAGCCGCGGUAAUACGGAGGGUGCGAGCGUUAAUCGGCAUUACUGGGCGUAAAGCGCUCGUAGGCGGUAUGUCAAGUCAAGGGUGAAAUCCCCGCGCUCAACGUGGGAACUGACUUUGAUACUGGCAAACUGGAGUGUGUGAGAGGAAGGUGGAAU